ACUCGGUCUCUCUCUCAGUCUCUCGGUCUCUCGGUUUCAGUUCGUGGUCCGUUCGUAGCUUGCUCUUGCAGGUCAGCCCUCUUGCAUGUCUUCCCGUAGCUUGUUUUGUUUUUGUUAUUGCAGUGUGGGUUUUGUGUAGAUUGUUGCUCUGUUUUAUCGGACAUUUGUUUCUAAUCUGCAUUUCUUCUAGCAUUUCUUCUGCAUUUCUAAUCUGCAUUUCUUCAGUCUUGCAGGUCCCGUAGCUUGCUCUUGCAGGUCAGCCCUCUCUUUGUACCCAGUUCUCAUUUGCUCUAUCAAUGGAGGAGCCUCUUCUAUUCUGAGAAAUACCUCAAACCCACCAGCUGUUUCACUCAUUCUCAGGAGAUUGGAUGUUGGAAGCUGGGGCCCUAGUUUUAGUAGAUGGAGGACUUUGCUGCAUAGAUGAAUUUGAUAGGUUGGGGAUCGAAUUGGCAAGGAGCAUUGCAAAGGUAAUUUGCAAGAGGUACGGAAUUUGUUCUUUUAACUCUUAUUAUUAAUAUCUUUAAAAUGUUAGAGGAGUUUGAAUAUCUUAAAUAUUCAUCCAUAGAGAAGUAGUUUCUGAGAUUAAAAUUGUGUGCUGCGGUGAUAACGGAAGGUUGAAAACUUGUGUGUAUUAGAGAAGUAGGUUCUGGAAAAUUUGUUUGUGUGCUGCGGUGAUAUAAGGAAGAAAACUUAUUGUGUGUUGUUUGAAUUUUUUGACUUGGUAUUGAUAGAUGGUUAGGUAAGCUUUUAUAUGUAUAGAUUAGAUUUUUCAUUAUAUGUAUAGAUUAAAUUUUUCAUUUAGUCAUAUUGUUUUCAUUAUUUCCAUAUGUAUAGAUUAGAUUUAAUUGCCACAACCCAAGCUAAAAUCUUGUCUUUGAUCCAAACCCAAUUAGUUAGUGGCUACCAUUUUAGAAUCUGAUUAUUAAAUUAAAAACAACACUAGAAUCUCUUGAAAGCUUAAUGAAACUAAAGUACUAGAAAUUAGUAAUAGAUUUAGACCAAUAAAUCUUUAGUGGGACUAAGAAUCAUGGUACUAGAAAAUCAAGUAACUAC